ACACACACACACACACACACACACACACACACACACACACUGAUGAAGAUUUCCUCUCUCUCACUGGGAGGUAAUAAUCACCCAGCAUGCAUCUGGAGGUCAUGUGAUCACACAGCUGGCACUGAUGUCACAACUGUGGAAUCCUUCCUGGUUACUGUUGCUAUGCGCCCCCUAUAUUGUGUGUGUGUGUGUGUGUGUGUGUGUGUGUGUGUGUGUGUGUGUGUGUGUGUGUGUGUGUGCAUACCAGUCAUGCCUCGCCGUGUCGUUGCAGCAACAAGAAGCAACAUGGCGGAGAUGACAACAAACACACACGCACGCACACACACACAUCUCUGUUAAUAAGGGUCUGCCAAGGUUACCAUGGUGAUGAGAUAAGUGUGUGUGUGUGUCUCUUUCUUACUCUGUCAUCUUUCCAGUGUGUUAUUUUACCCAGAAUCCUUAGUUCUUGCCCAAUAAGGACGGCAAGAAAAACACCCAAACAGAAACAGGAGGUGAGCGAACAUCAGAAGUGUGUGUGUGUGUGUGUGAUGUGAUGUCAUCCAGUCAUCACAUGAAACAACUGUUUACAGAAUCCAAAAUGGCCGACUUGCCCUAAAAACUACAAGAACACGAGUUUAAUUAACGUUCCUGUGAAACAUAAUAUCUGACACACGACCUCACUAGAAACAGGAAGUACCCAGAACCCUCCCUGCAGGACGAUCCAGCCUUAAAGAUAAUAUUCUGAUUUUAUUUUGGCGGUAUAGCGACACAAGAUAUAUAUCGAUAUUUUGAAAUCAUAUAAAUUGAUCGAGUCUCGGCUGAGUUACGGUCCAUUAUCCAAUAAUGAUUAGAUGCUGUUACAUUUUGCUGAUGACACCUGUCAACGUUGCUUCCUCAAACAGAGAACUGGGGGGGCGUGGUUAACGUCAUAGUAUCAUGUUACCACGGCAACCAGACUGCCCUUCUAAAGAGCUAAACAUCCCUAGCAUGGAUAGCGUUAGCACGGACUAGCAGCAUGAGUGUUAGCAGGGAUGGCGAUCGCUGUCAGGAGCUGCAGAGUUUAUUCUUGGUGGUUUCCUCUCCCUGCGCUCCGGUCGCUCACACAGCAGCUGGAGCUCUGAAGUCAUUGAUCAUGAUCGAUUACUGAGCUGUGGAGACGGGACGGGAUUAAAUAACUGUGUACUUCUUCCUGCUCCUGUCUCGGACAUGUCAGUGCUGGUUAAUGGAAAAUACUUUGUGACGUGCUUUUCAUUUUAUGAUGCUCAUCUGUCGAACGGAUUUGUCUGAACAGUGUGGCUCAUCAGCAUCGUCAGGAAAGUUUCACUGAAGUAAAUCUGGAGCACUUGGAGUCUUCCACCACUGCAACAUGAAACGCGUUUAUCUGGAACUUAAGCUGUCCAGCUGUGAGUCAGUGAAUGCAUCACCAGAGGAUUUCAGCGCCUGGAGGUCUGAAAAGAGCAUCGUGCCACUGAUGCAACGAGUCUGGGCGAGUUCAGGCAAUCACAGGAAGUCACGACCUGAGGCAGCGUCAGGCGAGGGCGGCGAGCAAAAAGUUUCACAUCAACUCUUAAAGUGUCGCCUGUCGAACCUCUCUGAUGACUCCGCCUACACCUGAGUGACCCGAGACCUCUGGAGGAAUAAACACCUGCAGUCAGCACAGAGCUCAGAGAGUCUCUGCUGGGUGCUGACGUCACACACACACCAUCGAUUUGUGUUGUUGCUUGCUAGCUUAAGGCUAAUGUACAAUAAAGUAUUGUUGCUAAUUGAGGUGAAUGAACACAAAUCAUCCCGCCAUCUUCUCUUCCUUUUAGCUCUUGUUUUUGGUCUCCACCAUCUGUGUACAUCUGUGUACAGUGAGUUUAUCAGAGCUCGAUGGAGUGAAGCAGCUGAGACCAAACCAGGUGGGAAUCAUGGCGAAACAAAACUAGGAGCUAAAAAAGGCUGAUGGGCUCUGUAGAGACGAGUCAGCUGAUAUGAUCUUUGUGAUUUUUACACUUUCGCUAUACGCACCAUGUAAACUUCUCCACACGUCCCUCCACAGGAACAAAAACACAUUUUAUCGCUCAGAUCUCAGACUGAAUAAACUGUCUUGUUACUACAUUGUCAUCUCUGAUAGUUCUCAUGUUGAGUUCACGGACUGGACACUGUUAACAGCAGUCGACUAUGAUGGCUGACCCAGAUCUUUAUCUCUAUUAAAAGAUCAAUUAUUACAUCUAAACUGUCAGAAUACAGUCAAAUUAUGUUUUCAGAGACAAAGUUGAUGUCUUCAACUGGACGUGUUCAAAUGAAUUCAUCUAGACAAAGAAACUGCAAAAUCAGACACAUGUUGGAUCUUUAGCUCCACAUCAUAUAAAACUAUGAGACAACCAUAGAAGUUUUUACACUCAAUUCAUCAUUUUUCAAACAAAUAUUGUCUGGAUCUGGAUCUUCUGCCUCUGUUUGGUCUAUAUGACAACAAAAUGAAUAUUUAUUCUUCUUUGUUGCUUUUUUCAAGAAAGAACAAUAAAAAAACAUAAAUCAAACCAAAUCAACGCCCAUCAUCGCAUCAACGUACAGAAACAACAGCGACAGCAGAAUGUCGUGUUGAGAGAAUAAACUGAAUGUUUUGACAUUUUAAACUGUUGGUCAGAAGAGCUGAGACCUGCGAGGACGUCAGCUUACAGGUUCUGUUUGCUGGUUCUGGUUUCUGUUGGUUCAGGACCUUUGAAUCUGUCCUCUCACUGGAGACAAAUUCAUUAAUCACUUAGUUUUACUUUAAACUCGUCAAGUAAAGUGACGUUACAUGACCAGUGUAACAAGCUCACACUUCUGUCUGAUAAUAGUAAUCAUUUACCUGCAUCACCUGCAGUUUAUUGCUCCACUCAAGAUGUUUCAACCUGACAAAUAAUCUAAAGUCUUCAAUAAACAGAACUCUGUUUGCAGCGGGGAGUCGACUGUGGGGGCAAAAGCAGAUUAUUUUCCCGAUUUGCAAUGAUUUCAUCUAAACUGCCGGAAAACAGUUAAAUCACAUUUUCAGAGACCAAGUUGAAGUCUUCACAUCUCUGGUUCUGUUGGUCCGACAUCCCAAGGCUCAAAGAUCAUCCGAGACCAAGAAAACCAGAGAACAUUUACAUUUGUGGUGCUGGACCGAUCUAGUAUAUUGAUAAUAACUGAUAAUAAACUACACAACCUAAA